GAACGCUGACAGAAUGCUAACACAUGCAAGUCAACUUGAAUUUGGGUUUUUAACUUAAGUUUGGGUGGCGGACGGGUGAGUAACGCGUAAAGAACUUGCCUCACAGCUAGGGACAACAUUUGGAAACGAAUGCUAAUACCUAAUAUUAUGAUAAUAGGGCAUCCUAUAAUUAUGAAAGCUAUAAGCGCUGUGAGAGAGCUUUGCGUCCCAUUAGCUAGUUGGAGAGGUAACGGCUCACCAAGGCGAUGAUGGGUAGCCGGCCUGAGAGGGUGAUCGGCCACAAGGGGACUGAGACACGGCCCUUACUCCUACGGGAGGCAGCAGUGGGGAAUAUUGGACAAUGGACCAAGAGUCUGAUCCAGCAAUUCUGUGUGCACGAUGAAGUUUUUCGGAAUGUAAAGUGCUUUCAGUUGGGAAGAAAGAAAUGACGGUACCAACAGAAGAAGUGACGGCUAAAUACGUGCCAGCAGCCGCGGUAAUACGUAUGUCACGAGCGUUAUCCGGAUUUAUUGGGCGUAAAGCGCGUCUAGGUGGUUAUAUAAGUCUGAUGUGAAAAUGCAGGGCUCAACUCUGUAUUGCGUUGGAAACUGUAUAACUAGAGUACUGGAGAGGUAAGCGGAACUACAAGUGUAGAGGUGAAAUUCGUAGAUAUUUGUAGGAAUGCCGAUGGGGAAGCCAGCUUACUGGACAGAUACUGACGCUGAAGCGCGAAAGCGUGGGUAGCAAACAGGAUUAGAUACCCUGGUAGUCCACGCCGUAAACGAUGAUUACUAGGUGUUGGGGGUCGAACCUCAGCGCCCAAGCAAACGCGAUA
rnacentral:rRNA from 1 species